GACGACCGGCGCACGGGUGCGUAACGCGUAUAGAACCUACCUUAUAUUGGGGGAUAGCCCAGAGAAAUUUGGAUUAAUACCCCAUAGUAUGCUGAAUUGGCAUCAGUUUAGUAUUAAAGAUUUAUCGAUAUAAGAUGGCUAUGCGUUCUAUUAGCUAGUUGGUAAGGUAACGGCUCACCAAGGCGACGAUAGAUAGGGGUCCUGAGAGGGAGAUCCCCCACACUGGUACUGAGACACGGACCAGACUCCUACGGGAGGCAGCAGUGAGGAAUAUUGGACAAUGGAGGCAACUCUGAUCCAGCCAUGCCGCGUGCAGGAAGACUGCCCUAUGGGUUGUAAACUGCUUUUAUAGAGGAAGAAACCGCUCUACGUGUAGAGCUCUGACGGUACUCUACGAAUAAGGAUCGGCUAACUCCGUGCCAGCAGCCGCGGUAAUACGGAGGAUCCAAGCGUUAUCCGGAAUCAUUGGGUUUAAAGGGUCCGUAGGCGGGCUUAUAAGUCAGUGGUGAAAGUUUGCGGCUCAACCGUAAAAUUGCCAUUGAUACUGUAGGUCUUGAAUCAUUGUGAAGUGGUUAGAAUGUGUAGUGUAGCGGUGAAAUGCAUAGAUAUUACACAGAAUACCGAUUGCGAAGGCAGAUCACUAACAAUUGAUUGACGCUCAGGGACGAAAGCGUGGGUAGCGAACAGGAUUAGAUACCCUGGUAGUCCACGCCGUAAACGAUGGUUACUAGCUGUUUGGACUUCGGUCUGAGUGGCUAAGCGAAAGUGAUAAGUAACCCACCUGGGGAGUACGUUCGCAAGAAUGAAACUCAAAGGAAUUGACGGGGCCCGCACAAGCGGUGGAGCAUGUGGUUUAAUUCGAUGAUACGCGAGGAACCUUACCAGGCUUAA
rnacentral:rRNA from 1 species